CUUUUUCAAUGAUUAAAAACCAUAUGAUAGGCUGAGGCAGGAGGAUCACUUGAGGCUAAGAGUUCAAGAACCAGCCUGGGCAACAUAAUGAGACCCUGUCCCUACAAAAAAUAAUAAAAAAAAACCUUUUGUGUCAUGGUUGUGCACACCUGUGGUCCCAGCUACUCAGGAGGCUAAGACAGGAGGAUCACUUGAUCCUAAGAGGCUGAGGUUGCAGUGAGCUGAGGUUGCAGUGAGCUAAGGUUGCAG
rnacentral:lncRNA from 1 species